GACGAACGCUGGCGGCGUGCCUAAUACAUGCCAGUCGAACGAACCGCGACUAGGUGCUUGCACUUGGUCAAGGUGAGUGGCGAACGGGUGAGUAACACGUGGGUAACCUACCUCAUAGUGGGGGAUAACAGUCGGAAACGACUGCUAAUACCGCAUAGGACAUAGGAUCACAUGAUCCAGUGAGGAAAGGUGGCGCAAGCUAUCGCUAAGAGAUGGACCCGCGGUGCAUUAGCUAGUUGGUAGGGUAAAGGCCUACCAAGGCGAUGAUGCAUAGCCGACCUGAGAGGGUGAUCGGCCACAUUGGGACUGAGACACGGCCCAAACUCCUACGGGAGGCAGCAGUAGGGAAUCUUCCGCAAUGGACGCAAGUCUGACGGAGCAACGCCGCGUGAGUGAAGAAGGUCUUCGGAUCGUAAAGCUCUGUUGUUAGAGAAGAACAGCGCAUAGAGUAACUGUUAUGCGUGCGACGGUAUCUAACCAGAAAGCCACGGCUAACUACGUG
rnacentral:rRNA from 1 species